AACGAACGCUGGCGGCAUGCCUAACACAUGCAAGUCGAACGAGACCUUCGGGUCUAGUGGCGCACGGGUGCGUAACGCGUGGGAAUCUGCCCCUCGGUUCGGAAUAACAGUGAGAAAUUACUGCUAAUACCGGAUGAUGACUUCGGUCCAAAGAUUUAUCGCCGAGGGAUGAGCCCGCGUAGGAUUAGGUAGUUGGUGGGGUAAUGGCCUACCAAGCCGACGAUCCUUAGCUGGUCUGAGAGGAUGAUCAGCCACACUGGGACUGAGACACGGCCCAGACUCCUACGGGAGGCAGCAGUGGGGAAUAUUGGACAAUGGGCGAAAGCCUGAUCCAGCAAUGCCGCGUGAGUGAUGAAGGCCUUAGGGUUGUAAAGCUCUUUUACCAGGGAUGAUAAUGACAGCACCUGGAGAAUAAGCUCCGGCUAACUCCGUGCCAGCAGCCGCCGUAAUAC
rnacentral:rRNA from 1 species